rnacentral:lncRNA from 1 species
UUCCUGCUGUCCACAAGCUUUGCCGAACGGGGGCAUGUCCCAACUUGUUCAGUCCCACCAGCCCACGGCUCCUGGGCUGGCCUGGCGCCACCACCACUUCCCAUAACGUGGGGUGGCCGCCUGGUGCCAGGAGAGGGCAGGAGGGCUACAGCCUUUCACCUGCUGUUCUUUUGCACCCGCUGUUCGGCAGGUCCCGAGUUCUUGUCCUGCGUCCAAGAAGAAUGAGGUUACACUGACAAUUGCAGAGUAACCAAGGCAGAGAGGACGUUUAUUCAGCAACAGAACAGCUCCCAGCAGAGAGGGGACCCAAAGGUGGUAGUCCCACUGUGUAGCUGAGUCCGGGAGUUUUUAUGGGCUCAGAAUGGGGGAGUGUGUGCUGAUUGGUCCAUAGGCAGCCUGGAAAAAGCACCAUUUGAUUGGCUAAAAGGCAUUGCGGGAGUUCUCACUUGGGUCUUAGAUUCUACCCAGAACUGGCAGGUGAGUUUUCAGGCUUCCGGCGGUCUUUGACUCGAAGGUUGGUUUUCACCAGGGACCCGCCCGUAUCUACCUAGGAAUUUGUCUGCUUCCCACCACUAUCAGUAUCUGUCCAUUUAUACUAAGUUCUAAAAUAGGCAAAAUUAAUCUAUAAUUUAAAAAAAAGAAAAAUUCAAAAGACCAGGCUUGAUGGCUCAUGCCUGUAAUCUCAGCACUUCGGGAGGCUGAGGUGGAAAGAUUACUCAAACCCAGGAAUUCAAGACCAGCUCGGGGAAAAUAAGGAAACCUCAUCUCUACAAAAAAUAAAAAAAAAUUAUCCUAGCAUGGUAGCACACAGUGGAGUCGAGACUCGAAGCUUCCACGCGGCGGAACAGCGUCCCUCUCAGGCGGCGAACGGGCUAGGGAAGCGCCCGGAGGAGACCUAGCGUGAGAACUACAACUCCCGCGGAGCCCGAGGGCGAGCUGCCUGCGUAACUUCCGCUUCCGCCACCUGCCCCUCUCACCCUCUUCACUCGAACCCUACCCGGGAGCGGUCAGGCGCGUGACCCCGCGUGACCGGGGUGCGCGAGCCGAGAGGCCCUGGAAGCGGGACUCUGGGACCCCAUUGAAAGAAAGGCAACCAGAAAAGGCGAAACGACAACCUCGAUAGUGAUUGGAGCUGAUGGAACGAGGGCGGAGCUAAAGUCCCAGAAUACUGGCCAAUCAGAGUUUAAGAUUAUCAGGGAGCCCGGGAAGGGGAAAGGGGCGAAAUGGUUCUAUGGUCACAUGCCGCGGGGUCUGGUGGGAGGAGCGGUUGCCCAGCGGCCUCUUGGCGCUUCCUGUUUCCGGUUCCCAGAGUGGGGCACAGCGAGGCGCUAGGGGGAACGCUGGCCUCUGAAACUAGCUCUGGGACCGGGGUCUGCGGCCGGCCCCUAGCUGGCCCCGUCUCCCAUCCCCAGAAGGGUAUUCACUGGGGAUUCUGAGCUUUGGCUACUCCAGUUUCCCACGACACGUGAGUGUGAGGGGCGUGGAGGAGGAGGCGGGCUGGGUUGCGCUCACACUUAAGCGUCUGUGACAGGAGCCGGAAUCGCAUUCUCCCUUGACCAUGGUUCUAGCCAAAGAUCUGGCUGAGGAGCCCUAAGGGUAGAAUGGAGGCGGAGGCA